UUCUUUAAUGACAUCAUACUAUUAUCUGAUGUUAUCCUCAAACUAAGAGGGCAGCAGACAUGAGGACCCAGCGUCAGGUCAAUGCCCAAGCGCCAAGCAUACCAAUGAUUAGAACUCUGCGAACAAUUGGAGCAAGUGCUUGAAAUUCCAGCCAUGAACCUGGCAGCUCUGCGCGGGAAGAUGCAUGUGUCCUGGACUCAUAGAGAUGGAACGCUGUUUUACAUUCUUGCCUAAUAUCUAAGCAAGACUUAGAAGAAUCAAUGACAACCUGAACCAUAAGCUGCUGAGGUAAAUUUUUGAGAUCGCAACACCACUGUGCUCCAGUCUGAGGCUAGGAGGCAUCGCCGAAGUAUAAACCUCUCUGGAGCUUCUCUGCCAGAAACAAACACGCAUUCAGUUAUGACAGCGGUACUCCGUGAUCCUGAACCUCCGCCAACCAAAAGAAAGCUGCGCACACACUGCUGAACUUUUACAACUUUACAAUUCGGAGCACAUAAAGCUGUGUGAUCCAGCUGUAAAUCUUGUUGACAGUUGGCCCCACCCACUGGCUGCUUGGCAGCUGGCUUUUGAAUUGUACCGGGCACCCAGCCAUUCAAACAACCCUUCUCUGCUAAUGUUUCUCAGCCCAUUUCUCAUUCUUUUUCCUACCUCCUUUCACCAGGCCAUUUCCCGCCCUCCUUUCCUUGCAGAUAUCUCCCUGAGUCCUCAGAGAUAACAGCUAGCAGAAGCGCUAGCUUCUGGCUUAUCCUCACUGUAUCUGAGACAAUCUGCUGGAGGUGCAGAUACACAGGGGGGCAAAAGGCAACAUAUUAUUCUUCUAGACCCUUUUAGGAGGCAUACAAAAAUAAAGUACAAACACAAAUCACUUGAUAAUUUUAUGAUUAAAACCAAUAAAUGGA